GGGCCGUUUUCUGUCCCCCAAGAGUUGCAACCGGCAUUGAUUUUGCUCGCGAUUUUCCCGCCCUCUCACGGCGGAAACAGGGGUUCGAUUCCCCUACGGGCUGCCA
rnacentral:tRNA from 1 species